rnacentral:rRNA from 1 species
AUUAAACGCUGGCGGCAUGCCUUACACAUGCAAGUCGAACGGCAGCACGGGGGCAACCCUGGUGGCGAGUGGCGGACGGGUGAGUAAUACAUCGGAACGUGCCCUGGAGUGGGGGAUAACGUAGCGAAAGUUACGCUAAUACCGCAUAUUCUGUGAGCAGGAAAGCAGGGGGAUCGCAAGACCUUGCGCUCUGGGAGCGGCCGAUGUCGGAUUAGCUAGUUGGUGGGGUAAAGGCCUACCAAGGCGACGAUCCGUAGCGGGUCUGAGAGGACGACCCGCCACACUGGAACUGAGACACGGUCCAGACUCCUACGGGAGGCAGCAGUGGGGAAUUUUGGACAAUGGGGGCAACCCUGAUCCAGCCAUGCCGCGUGAGUGAAGAAGGCCU